rnacentral:lncRNA from 1 species
AUAUAUAUGUGAAUUUCGAAUCGUAUAUACUAGAUCUAGGGUUUUGCUUUGGAUAAUUGAUUUGCAUGUAUAAUUUGAGAAAAACCUAGAUCCAAAGCAUUAGGGUUGCAUGUGCACCAUAGGAAUGUUGUAAUGCUCAAAACCCAUCAAAUUCAAUGUAACACCCAAAGUUUGGAAAGCCAAGUAAAGAAAGAAAACCCCAAUUUUAAGGGGAGACUCAGCGAGUCCGAGCGGGAUCCGGGUUGAGGUAUAAGCGACCGACUCGGCGAGUCGGCCAAGGUGACUCGGCGAGUCUGGUCUGAGCAAGGAAAACCCUAAAUCCGAGAUUUGGAGCUUAUUUAAACGUCUCAUUCUCUCCCCUAGGGUUUCUUUUAUUGCCUCUCUAGCACAUAUCACUAACCCCUAGCCGCCAAAAUCGUUUUGGAGCAAGAUCUACCCUUAGUGAAGCUUUUGAAGCUUGGAGAAGGAAGAAAGGCAUUGGAGGUGGAAGAAGGGACGGUAGAUCCAGGAUUGAGAAGACAUUUCAGACCAAUUGGAGCUCGAGGAGCUAGUGGAGCAGCAGUUCGGAGUCAGAGGUCAAGUAGCAGUCAAGGACUAGUAGUAUCAGUUCAGCAAUCUCAGGUGAGUUUCCCUUCGGUAGAAACGGGUCUAAAGCCACAAUGCCGGCCCGUUCAGUUAGCCGUAGUUUCUGGACUUCAGUCUGAUGCAGUAGUUAGCAUGUUUGAUGCCUUCUUGGCUCAGACAGGAUUUAUGUGUUAUGUGAGCCGGGCUACGGCCCGAUGUGGUAUAUGUGUGUUCAUGCUAGUGGAUAUGUUUAUGUUAUGUUCAGUCAGCUUCGGACUUCGGUCCGAUGUAGGGGACAAGGUCCCAGUCAGCUUCGGACUUCGGUCCGAUGUAGGGGACAAGGUCCCAGUUAGCUUCGGUAUUCGGNUUCGGACUUCGGUUCGAUGUAGGGGACAAGGUCCCAGUCAGCUUCGGACUUCGGUUCGAUGUAGGGGACAAGGUCCCAGUCAGCUUCGGACUUCGGUUCGAUGUAGGGGGCAAGGCCCCAGUUAGUCCGGACUUCGGUCCGAUGCAGUGGGCAAGGCCCAGUAUGUGCUUUAUAUGCUAUUUUGUGGUAUGUGGUAGAUUGGGGGAGCUCACUAAGCUUCGUGCUUAUGGUUUUCAGUUUUGGUUUCAGGUACACGGUUUUCAAAAGCGGAGCUCAGGAAGAUUGCAGUGCACACACCAUAGUCAGUUAGCCUGGGGAUGAUUGACUCUGAUGAUGAGAUUAUGUUUUGAAUUAGUACUCUAAAAAUUAUGUUAUGAAUUAUGAUACAGUUUUUGUAAAUAUGGUUUUAGUAAUGUUUUNUUGGUAUCAGAGCCUUGGUUUGAGGGAUUCGGGCACACUCCCUAGUGUGUCUGAACUCAAACUAAGGAAGUGGUAUAUAGUUUUCAAAAGAAAAAUCGUAGUUACAAAAGAAUUUUGAGAAAAGAAAACAAUUUUAGAAAAAUGUAAAGAAAAGAGUUUUAGAAAAAGCAAAAAGAGUUUUGAAAAGAGAAAAGGGUGUGGUGCAUGCAAUCAGCCGAGCUCAAGUAAGUACUCCCAAUUUACCCAUACAAGUUAUGUUAUGAUUAUCAGUAUCAGUUUCAGUAUCAGUUUCAGUUUCAGUUUCAGUUUCAGCUUCAGUAGAACAGCAUGCCAGAAUAGGACUAAGGAUCUAGGAUGAUCCCUUAUGUGCCUGCUUUAUGUGUUCCAACUUGAUGAGAAUUGCAUGCUAGUAUUGAGUAGACAGUAGUAGGAUAGCCUGCGUAGGUUAUGCCUGAUAGUAUGAGCUUAGCAUUGUAUGCUAGUGCAGUUUCUUGUUAUGAGAAUAGUUUUGCCUGAGUAUGUUUCCUUUAUCCGAAUGCUGCUUGCUUUGUGCUUUGUGGGACUCUGAGUGAUGGGAGUUAGCCAUUAGGUGAAUACGUCACAUCACAUGUGAUCAGGGUUGAAUAAUCUCAGAGUGCUGGAUUUGGCCCUACGGCGCAGCUCUUGUCUGAGUCCAACCGUUGUAGGGACGAGACUUUUACUCGAAUGAUUAUUCGAGCCUCAUUACAUGUGAUGGUAUUCAGGUGGUGUCUAAUUGGCAUCCCAAGGAGACCUUCAGCAGCUGAGGAAUGGUUUAGGUGGAAUCAGAGGUUCCUUAGGGCAAGCCUAGGAUGAGAGUAGCAGAGAUCAGUAUUAGUAGAAGUGAGUUGGUGGAGUUGAGGUAACUCUUGAGGAAAGUACGGAUAGAUGUGGAAGGUAGUAGGGGCCCAUACUACUGAAAGCAGAGGAUCCGUACUCGAUUCAAGAGGGGCCAAGACGAAACCAGGGAAUGGUGGAGUGAGUGAGAAAUCCCUCAGCAGUAGUGUGUAAAUUGAUCAGGAAUUGUUAUAUUUUCAGCAUGGUGACAUUGCGCGAGCUACCAGUUAGCAGUUCAGACGUCGAGGAGGGAUCUGGCUCGGGCUUUAGAGCCGGGCAGCUUGAUGAUCAGAUGAGGGAUUUCAUUUCCGCAGAGAUCACGCGCAACAUCAUUGAUCAGACUCCAGUGAUUUUCGGUUCGGUUAGGGAGGCCAUUGUGGAGCUCAUGGACAGUCAUCUUGAGGCCUUUAAGGCCGGGAUAGUUUCAGGACAGAUUGGGGCUCGUCUAGGUCCCGAUUCUUAUGGAGUUCAGGGAUCCAUCAGGGAGGGAGAUCCCAUUUCCAGUUUUUGCCAUCAGGGGACAGGAGUGAGUGGGGCAUCCUGUCUCCGGGAGAGACCUCUGUAUGAUUGGAUAGUUGAGGAAGUUUCGCGAGCCAUUCGCGAGGAUCUGCCCGACAUGGUCGUGAGGAUCACUGAUAGAUUGAUCGCGAGGCUCCAGGAUCAUACAACUGUUGUUUAGUAGAUAGGCAGGGAGUCGGAAAGGAAGAGGAAAGCGGAUGAGACACAGGUAGCCACAGGUUCGGGCAAGAGGCCCAAGGGUUCGGAUUUGAGGACGAGGAACUAUCAGAACUGCAUUCGAUGCAGGAAGUGCGGAAGGACGCACAUGGGUGUGUGCAGGUGUAGAAGUGGUGAUGAUUUGGGCUGUUUCAGAUGCGGUCGAAUGGGUCAUAUCAGCAGGGAUUGUACUACUACCAUUGCCCAGGGACUUUACUAGAUAUGUUUCCAUUGCGGUCAGAGAGGCCACAAGAAGGCCCACUGUCCGAGUUUGUAUACAGCCGGGCAGGUGCCAGCUCCUGCCCCUGGGACUUCGAGAGCCCAACGGACAUCAGGGUCGGGCAAGGGCGCCUACGGCUCGGAGCCGAGUUUUCCGGUAGAUUUCAGUAGGGAUCCGAGCAGCACUGAGUGAUGGAGGUAUGUAUCUUUUGCUUUUCUGUCAUCUAUUAUUGUGAUAUUAUUGUUAUGUUGCUGCAUUGUUAUCAGUAAGCUUGAGUGUUGGGGUAUUAUAUUACCUGCUUGUGGUUGAGUUUUAUGCCAUCUGCAUACCUUGGAAUUCGAAUGGUGAAUUGGAGGUCGUUCCCUCUAGAUCGGGUUACUUCGGAUAUAGUAACUGUACCAUGUAUGUGUAAGAUGAAGCAGUGCCUUACUACUUGCGGAGGGCGUUAGUCGAGUAAUGAUCAGUUAUAUUCUCAAUAGUGAUAGUCCAGAGUUUUUAGUGGAGUAGCUAGCGGUCAGUACGGAAGUGGGUUGGGGAUGUGCACCCCAAAUGCAGAUUCUCGAGAUGUAGUCCCUAAAGCAAUUACCGUUAAGGAUCGAAGGGUGCUCAGUCAGAUAGCAAGAAGGGUGCGGAUCUGGUAAGAGUUAGUUGGAGCGCUGGCAAGGGUAAACGUCGGCGGACAGCAUAUCGCCCUUUUUAUGAAAGGAAGGUUGGAAAUCCUUUCGACUGGUGAGCAGUAAGGAUCUAGUCGAAUCCAAGUGGGGGAGAACCCUUCCAAGUAUACAAGGAUAAGAGCCACGUAGACUCAGAAUGAUUGCGCGACCUCUGAAAUGAUUGUAGCAUAGUGAUUUAUGGAUUGAGGAGUUCAGAUUUGGGAGUUCGAGGACCUUCCCAGCAGUUAGUUCAUGUAAUCGAGAUGGUUAGAAGCUGGUCGAGAAUCCAGGAUUGGAGGACCACGUGUAGAGGCUCAAGUGAGUCGGAAUGAGGAUCCUGAGAACGGUUAGCAAGGGAUGUCUUCGUAUUAGUAGCCAGGGGCAGAGUCAGCAUGCAUGAUUGCGUAGAUUCAGGAGUUGGGAGUUUGGAAACUUCCCAACAAAAGCUUCUUGUAUCCGGAUUAGUAGACGGUUGGUUUGGGAAUCAUGCCAAAGAGUUUCUCGACGAAGCGCUAAGUAUAUCAAGGAUAUAAGAUGUCGAGGAUGAUGUAGUAUUCAAAGAUUGAGGGCUGUUUUUGAAAAAUCAGGAUGAGGAAUCACUAGCGGGACUAGGGAUAGUCAGGAUGUCCUCGGAAUAGUAGUAGUGUUGUAAGUCUGCGGGGGUAGCCGUAGCAUUCACUAGCAGUCAGAUAGUAGUAGUGGUGUUGUAAGUCUGCGGGGGUAGUCGCAGCCUUUAUCUAAUUGGUAGGUAGCAUGAGCGCGUUGUUGGACGCGGGAAAGCAGUAGUACCCACCAGUUCGGGUGCAACAGUGAGGAUAUGGGUAUCCACAGGUUAGAUUUCGGAUUUUCCAAAUGGUUCAGUUAUGGAUAAGUCAGCAAUUUGGCUAUAGAUCGUCACAUCAGUUAUGAGAUCAAAGUAGCAGUGGACCGUUGGGGUUCGGGUAUGUUAAGGGCUACCGUCAGUCUGGGAGCCAUCGUGUUGUUAGUCGUGGAAUUGAUGAUGUCAGGAUGUGACGUAUGGACCCGAUCGGUUGGAUCGGAAGGUUGUUAGAGCCACAGUGACAGGAUGACUAGUGGAGACUAGUUCCAGAGAAAGAUUUCGUUCAGAAGUCGUGGGAGCGACUAAGUGAGGAGUCCUUUGACUCCACAGUUGAGUUGGAACUCAGCGUUUCAGUGUUUCAGUCAGUUCAGUGUGUUCCAGCCAGUUCAGCGUUUCAGCCAGUUCAGUAUUUUGGGUAGUUUAGUGUUCCAGGCAGUUCAGUAUUGCAGGCAGCUUAGCGUUUCAGAUAGUUCCGAUAUGAGUAGCAGAGUGGAUAGAACAAUUAUAAAUAGUCGAGGGAUCUUGCGGAGCCGCUGGGAGCGACUAAGGGAUUGCGAGGGGUGUAGUGACCAGUAGGAGUCCGGUAACUCAGAUAUUGAGAAAAUUAUGGAAGGAAGUAACGUUAGGUGUCAGUGCAUCCGGUAGGCAGAUGAGGGGUAACAGAAUUCUCAGUCGAAGGAAGUAACGUUAAGAAAAUUAUGGAAGAGAGAAGGAUUCAGUAUGUACCUACAGUAGUGACCAGCACUACAAGUGGCUGGAGUGAUGGGCAAAAAGGGGGGUGUUAGAUUUCCCAGACAAAGAGUUGGAGGCAGCUAGCAGGACAGUUGGUCAUAGCAAACUUCGAGGACGAAGUUUAGUUUAAGUGGGGGAGAGUUGUAACACCCAAAGUUUGGAAAUCCAAGUAAAGAAAGCAAACCCCAAUUUUAAGGGGAGACUCGGCGAGUCCGAGCGGGAUCCAGGUUGAGGUAUAAGCGACCAACUCGGCGAGUCGGCCAAGGUGACUUGGCGAGUCUGGUCUGAGCAAGGAAAACCCUAAAUCCGGGAUUUGGAGCUUAUUUAAACGUCUCAUUCUCUCCCCUAGGGUUUCUUUUAUUGCCUCUCUAGCACAUAUCACUAAACCCUAGCCGCCAAAAUCGUUUUGGAGCAAGAUCUACCCUUAGUGAAGCUUUUGAAGCUUGGAGAAGGAAGAAAGGCAUUGGAGGUGCAAGAAGGGACGGUAGAUCCGGGAUUGAGAAGACAUUUUAGACCAAUUGGAGCUCGAGGAGCUAGUGGAGCAGCAGUUUGGAGUCAGAGGUCAAGUAGCAGUCAAGGACUAGUAGUAUCAGUUCAGCAGUCUCAGGUGAGUUUCCCUUCGGUAGAAACGGGUCUAAGGCCACAAUGCCAGCCCGUUCAAUUAGCCGUACUUUCUGGACUUCGGUCCGAUGCAGUAGUUAGCAUGUUUGAUGCCUUCAUGGCUCAGACAGUAUUUAUGUGUUAUGUGAGCCGGGCUACGGCCCGAUGUGGUAUAUGUGUGUUCAUGCUAGUGGAUAUGUUUAUGUUAUGUUCAGUCAGCUUCGGACUUCGAUCCAAUGUAGGGGAAAAGGUCCCAGUCAGCUUCGGACUUCGGUCCGAUGUAGGGGACAAGGUCCCAGUCAGCUUCGGUCUUUGGUCCG